ensembl:snRNA U6 U6 spliceosomal RNA
GUGCUCCCUGCAGCACAGACACUAAAUUUGGAAUAAUACAGAGAAAAUGAGUGUGGCCCUGCACGAGGAAGACAUGCAAAUUUGUGAAUAUUCUUUUAAAUAA